rnacentral:lncRNA from 1 species
UUUUAAAUAACAUUUUUACAUUUGUAUAUUGUCCAACACCGGAGUUAUUUCAAACAAACAACAAAAACUGAAAAACAUAUCUUUAUCUAAUUGAUUUAAAUAAAUUACAUCCAGCGAAUCUUUUUAAUUAAUGUUUAUAACAAUAAGGAAAAAAAUCCUUGUAAAUCUAAACAGCGAAAACUGUGUUUUUUAACUCUGUAGACGAGAUUAAGUCUAUCAUUUUUUCUCCUGUUUGCUGUCAGAGCUAUUUCUUGUUUACUUCAGUGUGGAAACAGCGGACUUAAAUGUAAAAUUAUUUGUAGCGGUUUAAGUGUAUAUCACAUUCUAGAAGAGGGCGGCCGUGUCCCCUCAGCUCGGCUGUGCCCCGGGGUGGCUUCAGCAGCAGCAUUAGUCUGUUUUAAUUCCGCUCAUACUGGCCCGUUUCUCCUCCAGAGCGAAGCAGAUAAUGAUGGUGAAUAGGAGAAGAGUGCAGCAGUGAAGUGGCCCCGGCGCUCUGUUCCGCGCUCUCUGAGCCAUUACAACACGACUCCCGUAAUCUCCGUUAACUCUAAUCACCUCUAAUGUAAAAGGCGCUCAGCUACAAUGAACCAUCAGGUCCAGAAUAAGUGCAUUUACAAACGAAGUGAUGCCUCCCACUACUUUUCCUGACCUCUUCAUUUAUUAAAUAAAUAUCACUUAGUGCAUAAUUACAGCUACAAUUUUGAGGAGCAUCUGAAGAGCAUCUCAGGAGCAUGUGACUGCUUAUUUCAUACAGCCCAAAUUAAAGGUUUGAAUCCCACUUGCUUGUUUGAAAUGUAUUUAAACAAAUGCUGUUGCCAUGUUUGUUCGUGUUUUGUUUUCCAUGUUUUUUUCCUGUCUAAGUGUUUCCCCCUUGGUUCUGGAAGAGUUCACACGAUCAAGCAAGGCACCCAGGAUCGGGACAGUAGUACCUCUUCCAUGCAGCUGACCACAGCCAGGGUGGAACAGAAGCAUUAACGGCUGACCUCAGAGGCUGAG